AGGGGCGUAGUACAACGGUUAGUAUAGCGGUCUCCAAAACCGUAGAUAUGGGUUCGAUUCCUGUCGCCCCUGCCA
rnacentral:tRNA from 1 species